rnacentral:rRNA from 1 species
GUGAAACUGCGAAUGGCUCAUUAAAUCAGUUAUAGUUUAUUUGAUGGUGCUUUGCUACAUGGAUAACUGUGGUAAUUCUAGAGCUAAUACAUGCAAUCAAGCCCCGACUUCCGGGAGGGGUGUAUUUUAGAUAAAAAACCAACGCGGUUCGCCGCUCCAUUGGUGAUUCAUAAUAACUUGUCGAAUCGCACGGCCUUGCGCCGGCGAUGCUUCAUUCAAAUAUCUGCCCUAUCAACUUUCGAUGGUAGGAUAGGCCUACCAUGGUUUCAACGGGUAACGGGGAAUAAGGGUUCGAUUCCGGAGAGGGAGCCUGAGAAACGGCUACCACAUCCAAGGAAGGCAGCAGGCGCGCAAAUUACCCAAUCCCGACACGGGGAGGAGGACAAUAAAUAACAAUAUGGGGCUCUUUCGGGUCUCAUAAUUGGAAUGAGUACAAUUUAAAUCUCUUAACGAGGAACAAUUGGAGGGCAAGUCUGGUGCCAGCAGCCGCGGUAAUUCCAGCUCCAUACGUAUAUUAAAGUUGUUGCAGUUAAAAAGCUCGUAGUUGAACUUCAGACCUGGCCGGGCGGUCUGCCUAACGGUAUGUACUGUCUGGCUGGGUCUUACCUCUUGGUGAGCCGGCAUGCCCUUCCUGGUGUGUCGGGGAACCAGGACUUUUACCUUGAGAAAAUUAGAGUGUUCAAAGCAGGCCUAUGCCUGAAUACAUUAGCAUGGAAUAAUAAAAUAGGACGUGCGGUUCUAUUUUGUUGGUUUCUAGGUCGCGUAAUGAUUAAUAGGGAUAGUUGGGGGCAUUAGUAUUCAGUUGCUAGAGGUGAAAUUCUUGGAUUUACUGA